CUAAGUUUUAGAUGCACUAUUGUUAAGUGACUGUCCCACUGGAUGUCAUAAGGUGAAUGCACCAAUUUGUAAGUCGCUCUGGAUAAGAGCGUCUGCUAAAUGACUUAAAUGUAAAUGUAAUGCAUGAGGGCCACAGUGUCCAAUCACUCUUUUGUGAUCAAUUAAGUGCAGAGGAGAAACAGAAACCUGUGUUAUAUUUAUCUCUAACCGUACCAAUGUACUCCUCUUUCUCAAGGACACCUCUCAGUUCUGUCCAUCUGCGGGCCACAGAGACUGGCUCUGUCCUGUGUGUCUGCAAACUGCCAGCUUCUCUGUACAGACCAACUGGGGCCAUGUAUACUGUGCUCCCUGUCUGAUCUCGUACUGGAGACUUGGGUCCUGGCUGGAUGCCAUCAGCUGCCCUCUGUGUAGACAAAGGUGUCCUGUGUCGUCUAUUUUGGCGAGGGUCGGUCAGACAGAAAGGAGAGGGAGGUUCUGGGAGAAUUUACAGACUACAACAAACGUUACUCAGGAACCCCUCGAAGGGUGACAGACUACUUGUGAGACAUGCCCCUGUUCCUGCAGCUGCUAGCUCGCGGGCCUGGGUGCUAUGGGGGGGGGGCUUCUUUCUCAGAGUGGUGCUCUGCUGUCUUGGGGCCAUGGUGUCCCUCUCCUCUGCCCCCCUGGACACUUCAUCCUCCCUGUCUGGCCUCCUGGGGGUCCUGGAUGUCCUGGUGGUGGUCUUCCUGCUGCUCACCUGUGUUAUCAACAUCAACCAGCAAAUGGCGCCAGAGAGUGGGAACUCCUCAGCACACACAGCCACACAGGGAGUAGGUCUGCUCAGUAACUCGCCGUAGCAGCAGAGAUGACAACCUGCAGUGAUUUAUUUAACCUUUGUUUCAACAGGAGAUCUCAAGGUGAAGAAACUAUUUUUUGAUUGAGACCUGGCAAAAUGUCAGCAGUGCCCAUCUGCUGGUUUUCAUCCUGAUGUUAGCAGGUGAUGAACUCACUGUAGCACUAGCAUAGACAACCUUUAGGUUUACAGCUAAUUACAGGCGAACAGCAGGCAGUCUAACCAGGGGCCCAGUUUAUGCGUUGAUGAAUGUAUGCUGACGUAUGUGUCUCAACUGUCUCACACCUUGCCUUCUCUCUUUCCUUUAUGACCAGUGAUCUGGUGAGAUGGUGAAAGCUACAUGGUGGAACCUACACAACUAGUUUCACCAUGCGGUGUAGGCCUACCAGUGGAGGCUGGUGGGAGGAGCUAUAGGAGGACAGGCUCAUUAUAAUGGCUGGAAUGGAAUGGUAUCUAACAUAAUUCCAUUCUAGCCAUUACAACCAGCCUCCACUGAGUCCUACUCAACUCAUUUGAGAGUGGGCAUGUUUGAUGGAUUACGAUGUAGCAUUUUAUUUUUUUAUUUUUUGUGUAGUGGUUUUUUGUGUAGUAUUUCUACUCCUACAGUAUAUACAGUACCUGUAGCCUUUAUUUUGGAGACAGUUAUGGUUAUCACUGGCCUUCAGUGGUUCAGUGAGACCCGGGGUAUGUUCAGGAAGGUGCAGAUUAAAUGUAGGCCUAUUGUGUUGCACCCUACUGUAAAAUUAAACUGGAAAUACUUUAUAUUUUACCAAGGCGUUGUUGAAUACUUGCUUCUGAUUGGCAUUCUAGAACGUGCAUUAUGGGAUAAUCAAGGGGGCUAUGCUUUCUUUGGAAAAUAAUGAACACGUGGAAGGUGUGUUCCACGACACACCACUAGCAGAGUGGAACUGACCUUCCUUGGAGUUGUAUUAUUUUCUGGAGAACGCAAGUUGAUUAUCUCUUUUAUACCAUGGCUAUAAAUUAACAUGUGUUCUUUGCUGGGAGAAAUGUGCUUAACAUACACUGAAGUAGCUAGCUAGCAACUUAACUAGAUAGCUACAGUAGUUUCUGUGGUAACCGAACAAACAGACUUGCUAGUUUAGCUAACCAAACCAUCAGUCCUAACUUGCUAUUAUGAAUUUUGAAUUCAACAUUAGACUUUUGCUUUCAAAAGCAAUGUUGUGGAAAUUCUUACACAGGGACACUCAAAGUAAAUCUUAAAUGAAUCAUUGUUUAUUGUCAGCUUGCUGGAGAGGUUCCAACCAACUCAAUGCACCAUAGUACACAUGUCGAUCAGGGUCUCUAAUGUGGCAGUCCCGUUAGUUCUUUUAUAUACUUACACAGAAAGUAAUACUUGCAUGAUUUAGCCUGUUCAUUAUUUAUUUGCUAUCAUUCAUGUGACAGAUUGCUAUCCUUCAUGUGACCGACCAAUACUGGUUCAUACAUGUGGCAGACCAAUACCUCAUGAGGCUUCUUCUCUCCAAGCUGAGACCUUGAAACUGGGGGUCUGGGCGUACUUCCAAAUUUCAAAUACUACAGUGAGGAUUUCUCCCAUGUAUUCAUUCAGUCACUUACAUGAACACAUAAAUUGGUUAUCAGAAAAGCACAAACAGAACACAGAAAUGGAUUAUUUGAAAAGCACAAACAUUUCCAUCACAGCAGCUCAAACAAAACAUGUGCAAAUUCACUAUAGCCAUUGAACUCUACAGUGAAAAUAUACUGUGCGCUGUAGGGAAAUAAUGCACACUCUAGAAUGCCCUUCAAGCCAAUUAGAAAAGACUAUUCAACAAUUCCAUGGUUUAGGCAAUAAGACAUGAGGGGUGUGGUAUAUGGCCAAUAUACUACGGCUAAGGGCUGUUCAAAGGCACAAUGCAAUGUUACCAACUGGUUACCAAUGUAAUUAGAGCAGGUAAAAUAAUGCUUUAUCAUAUCUGUGGUAUACUAUGGCUGUCAGCCAAUCAGCAUUCAGGGCUUGAACCACCCAGUUUAUAAUUAAGUGAUAAUGCCAGAGAAGCAUUGGAGGAUAUUUGGAGGAUAUAUUGGCAGUGUUUGGAGGCUAUAUUGGCACGGGUGUUGUUAAGCCCGAGACUAAGUCUGUUCUCAAUGUUCCAUUGCCAUACUGGCUGGCAACGUUCUUAUCCCUUGCUUGCUAGCUGGCCAACUAUGGCCAACUUACAUUCACACCAAAAAGGUGCAGCCAAAGUAACUGCAUUUGCAUUUGUUUAAGCUGUUUUCUAAAGACCUUGAAUGUGGAUUCAUCCAUAACAAUGAACUAAUAAUGUGCGAUUUCGCCUGGCAUAGAACAUUUGCCCUCUCGCCAGGCCACUGUUCAGAAUAGAUAGCCAAAUACACAGCUAACACAAUCAUUUCAAACUGAAGCUGAAAUGAAAGCAAACGAGCUACAUUUCGUGUUUUUAUUUUCAUUGUAUAUAUCCAAAGAAAUUAUGCAGAUUCAUGAUUUCGACUGGCUGAGAAAAUCUGCAAGCCGGUCUUUCUCGAGACGUUCAUUACCAUAGGACAGCUGGAGAUUGAAUUUUAUUACAAAUCUCCGCUGUUGAAAGACAAAUGCUAGUCUAAAAGAAAUGGGAGAUAAUGUCUAGAUGUUUUUUACAAUGUAGAUCUAGUAAAUAAAUGGCCUGGCUGAACUGAUUAUCCAGUCAGAUGCACAGUCAGAUGGAGUAAAUAGGUAUAGAAUUAGCCUGUGGUCAUUUGUGAAUUAUAAACUGGGAGGUUCGAGCCCUGAAUGCUGAUUGGCUGAAAGCCGUGUUAUAUCAGACCAUAUACCACGGGUAUGAAAGCCCGCACACUGUUAAAGCUCCCAAUUCACAGAUUUAUUGACAACGUUUCGAUCUGAAACUAAUCUUCGUCGGGUCAAAUAAACUGAGUGCUCACAUCCCAAAAUAUACACAUUUCACCUCACAUGAACAUUGUGGACAUGACGCAUGGUGGGUGCAAAAACAAUGUGUAUCUCUAAUCAUUGAAUAACAAUAAGAUGAGUACAUGUAGUAGUUCCAGAAAAUAAUAUAUAUUUACAAAAUGACCAAGUGGGUAACCUGGAAGGAAAGGACAAAUCAAAGUGACAUAUUCACUUUGAUUUAUCAAACUCUUGGUUCAGACCUCGAGGAGACAUGGUACACAAAUGUUGAAUCCAGUACAAUUCUCUUCUCAAUAAUAGAUUAUCAGUAUCUCCCCCCCCCCCUUCUAGGAGUCUUAACAUGUUCGAUGCCAAUGUGUCUCAAAGAGCUAAUGUUGUGACAAGCUUCCACAAAAUGCACAGCCACAGGGUUUCUCUGGUCAAGGGUCCUGAUAUUACUCCUGAAUUCUGCUAUCCUUGUUUUCAGAGCUCGUUUUGUUUUUCCUACAUAGCAUAGACCACAAAUACACUUGAUGUAAUGAUGCCCAUAUACUACACCCCCUCGUACCUGAUUGCUUAAAUAGACACCACCUGGAAUGCGGUUUUAACCAAUCAGCAUCCAGGAUUAGACCCACCCAUUGUAUAAUUCCAUAUAAUUUACAGUAGAAUUCAAUGGAUAUAGUUCAUUCUUACAUGUUAAGAGUGUCUUGAUAAGAUUGUCUGCUAAAUUAUAAAAUGUUAUACAGUAUGUUUCAACUGCUUUUGCCAGCAGCAUACCACCCUGCAUUCCACUGCUAGCUUGCCUCUGAAGCUAAGUAGGGUUGUCCUGUCACCUGGUCGGUCCCUGUAUGGGAGACCAGAUGCUGCUGGAAGUGGUGAAGGAGGGCCAGUAGGGGGCACUCUUUCCUCUGGUCUAAAAAAAUAUCCCAAUGCCUCAGAGCAGUGAUCGGGGACAUUGCCCUGUGUAAGGGUGCCAUCUUUCGGAUGGUACAUUAAACGGGUGUCCUGACUCUCUGUGGUCACUAAAGAUCUCAUGGCACUUAUCGUAAGAAUAGGGGUGUUGUUAACCAAGGUAUCCUGGCUAAAUUUCAAAUCUGGCCCUCAUACCAUCAUGGCCACCUAAUCAUCCCCAGCUUCCAAUUGGUUCAUUCAUCCCCCUCUCCCCCCUGUAACUAUUUCCCAGGUCGUUGCUGUAAAUGAGAAUGUUUUCUCAGUCAACUUACCUGGUAAAAUAAAGGUUAAAAAAUAAACAAAUAAUUGAAUGCCAAUGUCAAAUUGAAAGCAUUGUUGAAUUUGAUUUUCAAAGUGGUGUUACGUACUUAAGUACAAAUAUUUAAAGUACUACUUAAGUUGAUUUUUUUGGGUAUCUGUACUUUACUAUUUAUAUUUUACUUCACUACAUUGCUAAAGAAAAUAAUGUACUUUUUACUCCAUACAUUUUCCCUGACACCCACAAUUGUCCAAUUCAGACUUUAAGAGAACAUCCAAGGUCAUCCCUACUGCCUCUGAUCCGGCAGGCUAAAUGAACACAAAUGCUUUGUUUGUAAAUUAUGUCCGAGAGUUGGAGUGUGCCCCUUGCAAUCCAUCAAUGUAAAACAAAAAUCAAGAAAAUUGUGCCGUCUGGUUUCCUUAAUAUAAGGAAUUUGAAAUGGUUUACUUUGACUUUUGAUACUUAAUAUAUUUGAGCAAUUACAUUUACUUUUGAUACUAAAGGAUACUCAAGUAGUAUUUUACUAGGUGAUUUAACACUUCUACUUGAGUUAUUUUCUAUUAAGCCAUCUUUACUCAAGUAUGACAAUUGGGUACUUUUUCCACCUCUGGAUGUUCAUAAUGUCAAGCCAGGUCCGAUGGUUUGGGUACCACUGCAAGUAUUGUAGCUAUCUAGUAAACUUGUUAGCGUCUAAAGUAAAUGUUAAAUUAUAGCCAUGGUAUUAAAAGGAUAAUCAACGCUCUUUCUCUGGAAUAUAAUGCAUCUCCCUGGAAGGUCAGAACACCUUUCAAGUAGCUUGUUAUUUUCCAUAGAACACCCCCACGUUGAUUACCCCUUAACAUUGUGAAUACUUGUAAAACACUUAUAAUUCUAUAAAUGUUGUAUUUAUUGUUCUAAAACUUU